rnacentral:tRNA from 1 species
GCCGACUUAGCUCAAUCGGUAGAGCAACUGACUUGUAAUCAGUAGGUUACGGGUUCAAUUCCUGUAGUCGGCACCA